rnacentral:rRNA from 1 species
UACGUAGGUGGCGAGCGUUAUCCGGAUUUACUGGGUGUAAAGGGCGCGUAGGCGGGCUAUCAAGUCAGAUGUGAAAUCCCUCGGCUUAACUGAGGACCUGCAUUUGAAACUGGUAGUCUUGAGUAUCGGAGAGGCAGGCGGAAUUCCGUGUGUAGCGGUGAAAUGCGUAGAUAUACGGAGGAACACCAGUGGCGAAGGCGGCCUGCUGGACGACAACUGACGCUGAGGCGCGAGAGCGUGGGGAGCAAAC